UACAGAGGGGGCUAGCGUUGUUCGGAAUUACUGGGCGUAAAGGGCGCGUAGGUGGCCUGUUAAGUCGAACGUGAAAUCCCCGGGCUCAACCCGGGAACUGCGUCCGAUACUUCCGAGCUGGAGGUAGGUAGGGGAGAUCGGAAUUCCUGGUGUAGCGGUGAAAUGCGCAGAUAUCAGGAGGAACACCGGUGGCGAAGGCGGAUCUCUGGGCCUUACCUGACGCUGAGGCGCGAAAGCUAGGGGAGCGAACAGG
rnacentral:rRNA from 1 species